rnacentral:rRNA from 1 species
UACGAAGGUCCCAAGCGUUAUCCGGAUUUAUUGGGUUUAAAGGGUGCGUAGGCGGACUAUUAAGUCAGUGGUGAAAGCCCCCAGCCUAACUGGGGAACUGCCAUUGAUACUGAUGGUCUUGAGUACAUUUGAGGUGGGCGGAAUGUGUCAUGUAGCGGUGAAAUGCUUAGAUAUGUCACAGAACACCGAUUGCGAAGGCAGCUCACUAAAGUGUAACUGACGCUGAGGCACGAAAGCGUGGGGAUCAAACAGG